CUGGCCUCGGCAGGGGCAGGAAUAGCACCCGUGGGCGGCCACUGCGGGAGGCUCCCAGGGGCUCCUCGUGGAUCUUUCCCAGCGCCACUAGAGACUAACAGCACCCUGGGCUCCGGGCGGAUGAGCGCGGGGAGCCGGGUUCGCCCUGCGAAAAACUGACCCUGGCUAACAAUGCAUGAUGUAUCUGAAUAAUACAUCAUGUAAUAAUAAUACAUGAUGUAUCUGUAUGGUACUUGUUGAGGCAACUACUAGUUACCUAAGGCCCAAGAGAACAAAGCGGUGACGGCUUCUGUUCUGAAAUCCAUUCCGUGGUGGAGAGGAUAAACGUGAAAAGCUAUGAGACCCCGGAAGCCAGAAGGGAAGCUGGAUCCCCUGGGACUUGAAUACAGACAGUUGUGAGCCACCAAAAGAGUCAGGACUUCCAAAGAAGAGCAUUACCACAGCAUGCUGCCUGCCUUCGUCAUCCGUGCCGGACGCAUCACGUGCUAUGUGGGGGAUUGAUUUCAAUGUAAGCUGGCCUCCAACUGAAUGCAUCAGGAUUGACACGCCGCUACCUCAGCACAUCUGGAAACUCGGAUUAUACUGACUAUCAAUAACUGUUGUUUACCAAGUGGCAAGAGUUACAGUUAUUCCCCUUGACAGGCAUUCUGCUACCCUAAUUCUACAACUGAAAACUAUUCAGAGGUUCACCUACUCCAAGCAUCUCAAACCCAGGAGCAAGAUCAAAUCUACCUUUCUUCAGGGGCAGUAUCCAUGACCACAGUUUUACAAAUUAUACCCCCUUAACUAAGAGUAAAGUACUAACACACCACAUAGAAGAAGAAGGUUAAGACAUACAUGCUGUCUGGAUAAAGAUGGUGUGCUAAACUCACAAAUAAGUGUGAUGUGUCUGCUCUCUCUCGAGUCCAUCCACUAACAGUAAACUGGUUUUGGCCAUUUUAAGGUUAAAAUCUGAAAGGAUAGAGGAUGAAUGAGACAACAGUUACAAAAAGUUGUAAGUUGGAAGAUAAAAAGUCAAGUAGAAUUCUGAGCCAAGAGUAGGCAAAACAAAAGCAAAACAAACAAACAAACAAAAAUAUCCUUUAAUAUAGGAUAUUAUGGAACUCUGUGGAACUGGUGAUUUCAGUUCAGAAUUCCCAAGACUCAGGAACUGUUGGUUUCGUGUGCCCUGCAAGUGAGGAGUGAAGAGACAUCAAAGUAAGAAUGAGUCAGAGAUCUAGGUAUCAGAUGCCGCCUGUAACUCUGCAAGGCUAGGCAACCUCUGCACGAUGGGCACCCCUCUCUGUCCUGGGCCUCAGCCCUCUGGCUCGACUCCCAGAACCCUAGCAAGGCCUUCACAUAAAAGAUUGGAAGAAUGUUCUCUUAGGAAUGACCAGCUUAAUACAAAAUACCUACGAUAUGGACUCAAACAUUUUUCUCCAUUAAAGGCCUCAAAGCUCUCCCUUAGGGAGAGCAAACACGGACAAGGCUCUACCCACAUAGUCACUAACAAAGGUGAAGUGUCUAACGUGAAAGAAAAGGGACAAAAGCCAUUUUAGACAACAGACUAUGAAGGACAAAGAAAACACAAAUAGUUGUAUAUUGUUCUAUAAAGAGAAGAGGGGAAAAUAGGAAAAAAAAAUCAAUAAAAAGACACAGACCUUAUAAGAACUAAUAAAUAUAUGUUCCAAGUUUUAACACAGCAAUCAGGCAUCUACACAGUGAAUUAAAUACAAGUGUGUCACUGUAGAAUGGAAGAGACUACCAGGACAAUAAAUCCUUGUUUCUCAGGGAGAAAAAUUAGGCCUCACAGACAGACCAGGAAUCAGAAGAGUUUCCAAUUUCUUAGCAGCACUCAAAGCCAGAGCCAAUGUCACAAUGCCUUAAAACACUCAAGGAGAGGAAAGGCCAUUUUCAGGUCACAACCAUACAGUCUAGGAAGAAACAGCAGAGGCUCCGGGGAAAACUCCCUAGGACAGAUGAGACAAUGUGGUGCCUAAUCAAACCAAAUGAUGUGUACAGUCUUGGUACAGGCUGAAAAAUGAGUUCAUUUAGCAGAAACUUCACAGAAAAAUGAAAAAAUAAGUAGGAAAAGAAAGUGAUUGGCCUAACCAAAACCACACCAGGCUGCACACAAGAAGACGGGUGACAAGAAACACGCAUUGUGAUACAAAGAAUGAAAAGAAGCCCAAGUCGUAGUAAUACACCAAGAAGCAAGCAGACAAGAUCUUAAACAGGAAUGGCGCCAGCACCAUCGUGCCACUAAGACACACUGGCGGUGCUGGGGAUGGCUCGGCAGUUAAGAGUGCUGCUGGUAUUGCAGAAGGCUCAGCACCCAACGGCAGCUCCUAACUGUCUGCAACUCCAGUUCUAGAGAAUCCCACGUCCUCUUCUGGCCUCCAGGUACCAGGUACCCACAUGGUACCCACAUACAUACACGUAGGCAGGCACAUAUGCAUAAACAAAAUACAACCCAUAUACAUUACUAAAGAGUGAGCACGGAAAGUUGCUUAGGAAGACUGAUUACCUCUUGGGCCAAAACGCUUAAGAGAACUAUUUGAUUUUAAACACAGCAUUCCUCAACCCCCUUUAAUGGUCUUUGUAUUUUCAGAAUCAAACAGCCAUCUGCAGUUCAUGAAG